GAUGAACGCUGGCGGCGUGCCUAAUACAUGCAAGUCGAGCGAACGGACGAGAAGCUUGCUUCUCCGAUGUUAGCGGCGGACGGGUGAGUAACACGUGGAUAACCUACCUAUAAGACUGGGAUAACUUCGGGAAACCGGAGCUAAUACCGGAUGAUAUUUUGAACCGCAUGGUUCAAAAGUGAAAGACGGUCUUGCUGUCACUUAUAGAUGGAUCCGCGCUGCAUUAGCUAGUUGGUAAGGUAACGGCUUACCAAGGCAACGAUGCAUAGCCGACCUGAGAGGGUGAUCGGCCACACUGGAACUGAGACACGGUCCAGACUCCUACGGGAGGCAGCAGUAGGGAAUCUUCCGCAAUGGGCGAAAGCCUGACGGAGCAACGCCGCGUGAGUGAUGAAGGUCUUCGGAUCGUAAAACUCUGUUAUUAGGGAAGAACAUAUGUGUAAGUAACUGUGCACAUCUUGACGGUACCUAAUCAGAAAGCCACGGCUAACUACGUGCCAGCAGCCGCGGUAAUACGUAGGUGGCAAGCGUUAUCCGGAAUUAUUGGGCGUAAAGCGCGCGUAGCGGUUUUUUAAGUCUGAUGUGAAAGCCCACGGCUCAACCGUGGAGGGUCAUUGGAAACUGGAAAACUUGAGUGCAGAAGAGGAAAGUGGAAUUCCAUGUGUAGCGGUGAAAUGCGCAGAGAUAUGGAGGAACACCAGUGGCGAAGGCGACUUUCUGGUCUGUAACUGACGCUGAUGUGCGAAAGCGUGGGGAUCAAACAGGAUUAGAUACCCUGGUAGUCCACGCCGUAAACGAUGAGUGCUAAGUGUUAGGGGGUUUCCGCCCCUUAGUGCUGCAGCUAACGCAUUAAGCACUCCGCCUGGGGAGUACGACCGCAAGGUUGAAACUCAAAGGAAUUGACGGGGACCCGCACAAGCGGUGGAGCAUGUGGUUUAAUUCGAAGCAACGCGAAGAACCUUACCAAAUCUUGACAUCCUUUGACAACUCUAGAGAUAGAGCCUUCCCCUUCGGGGGACAAAGUGACAGGUGGUGCAUGGUUGUCGUCAGCUCGUGUCGUGAGAUGUUGGGUUAAGUCCCGCAACGAGCGCAACCCUUAAGCUUAGUUGCCAUCAUUAAGUUGGGCACUCUAAGUUGACUGCCGGUGACAAACCGGAGGAAGGUGGGGAUGACGUCAAAUCAUCAUGCCCCUUAUGAUUUGGGCUACACACGUGCUACAAUGGACAAUACAAAGGGCAGCGAAACCGCGAGGUCAAGCAAAUCCCAUAAAGUUGUUCUCAGUUCGGAUUGUAGUCUGCAACUCGACUACAUGAAGCUGGAAUCGCUAGUAAUCGUAGAUCAGCAUGCUACGGUGAAUACGUUCCCGGGUCU
rnacentral:rRNA from 1 species